GUAAAAGACUUUUCGUUUUAUUUUUUCACGUAGAAUUCGGAAUCAUGGUAAACAAUGUUUUCGAGACACAAGGUAUAUUCGUUAUUUACUGAACCGACUCAACGAAUUCUAAGAUCCUUUAUAAGAUUUCUGUUUCGUGAACAAAUUGGCUAAGACAACGGUGUUCUAACGAUGCCACAUCGAAUGUGUGUGUGUGUAGGUAUCUUCGCUGUGCAGAAAUGGUCCCGCUGAAAUCUGAUUGCCUUUCGCGCGUUAAAAUUGUUAUCAUGUGAUCUCGCGUCAAAGAACACAAUGCCGAACAACAAUCGUUACGAAACGGGAUUUCGAUGGCUGUGAACCGUGACCUGUAUCGUUUUUACCUUUCAACCCCUCCUUUGCUUUCUCUUUCGCUCGUCGUAAAUACUGUUCUCAAGAACAAGCCAAUUUUCAACCGAGUUUCUUUGGAUCUAUGUAAACAUCUGUCUUGCAUAAAUGAAUUCCAAAUAGAAAGGACACUUUUGUUAAGGAAUCUUGAAAGGGUGAAAAUGAACUUUGUUAAAAAUUCAAUAUCUAAUAUUUAAAGAAACAGUGUAAAAUUUAGAAAUUGAAAAUGAUCAAAACAUCAGUCUCCCUCUGUAAUAUUAUAAACCUAAUUGAAGAAAUGGAACUGAUCAGUAUCUUUCUUUCAGAAUCUUCAAAGACAUAAGGAUCUAUGUCUGGAGGAGCAGCACGGUUUGAAAAGGCCUGUCGAAGGAGCAGCAGUCCAGGUCAAUGAAACAUUAACUAACAAACGAUUCUCGAAAGGACGUGGAAUUGCACCACGAACGAACGAGAUACGUGUAUUACCCGGAUCGUGUAUUGGCGGCAAAGCAAGACCUCGGUCUGUCGAAGCACAUGUUAGCUUUACUGUACCUGAUUCGACCUCGCGCUCGCUUCGGUACUCUUAUAUGCAAAUCGCUCUAGCACACUACUUACCGUCCCGGUGGAAUGAUGAGCGGCUGGCUAAGGUCAUCAAAGAGGAAGCAGUGCAGUUCCAGCCAAUUAACCAGGCGAGCUUACAAAAACCCCAACGGACCGUAUAACCAUUUAAUUAUGCGAAAUUGAGUCGAAGCGGCCGCUAUUGGAUUCUCACUGUAUUUCAAACGGCGGAAGAGGAAUGUCGUGUGUCGUUAGCAACGAGAUUUACUGGCGUGAUUAAUUAAGGCUCACGCUAAUUAAUAAUACCAGCGGCAACGUAACAUGAUUAUUCAAUAGCGAUAUUCAUUUCAGAUACGUAUAUAGUUAUAUCAUUAAUAACAUAAAAAAUUUAAUGAAAAAGAAAGUUGCUGUAAUAAUAAUUGUUUUGGAUUAUCCUGAUCGCAGGGUCUAAAGAACAGGACACAGUGGAACGUUAUGAUAUACCAAUCGAUGGCAAAGUUGCAAAUAAAAAUAGAGGAUUAUUGUAAUAAAACAAUGGCCAUCCUAGAGUGUAUCAGGACUCUCCCCCAAUCUAACGAAUCAUGUGAUUCGACAUCAGCGAUACUUAAAGGUAACUCCUUCCGUGACAUUAAAAAGGCACUCCCAGGCUCUUGUUGCAUCGGUCCCUUUUGCUUUGCAGUUUCACACGGUAUUUAUGGUACACGCCUGAUAUUGGCAAUCCUCGAUUAUCUGAUCCCUGAAAUUCCUGUUGGAAGAAACUGGACCACCUAUGGCUUACAUAAAUGUAUAAGAACAAUAUUGGAGGAAGAUAUACGUUUUGGUAAAACCCAGAGGGUGGCAGAAGAGGCAGGAGAUGAGAAAUGAAAGAUGUGUUAUAUAAACUGAAAUUAAUAUUAAAAUAAUGCAAGGUUAGUUACACUGCCAUCUAACAGUCAGGAGAUGAACUAAUGAAAGUAGAAAGGAAGCUAUACCUUCAUGUGAUAACAUCGCAUCCUGCCUUAUCGACGACUAACCCCCCACUUCUGUACGAUGCGCUCCGUGCCGCAGCGCGGGAAACACUGAAGCGUUCAAACAAGUGGUACUUGUUAAUAUGGAAGGGAAUAUGAUGCGCGCGCAGCGGUAAUGGACGUUCAACGCACCUCCUGCGCCUCCUGCGCCUCCUGCGCCUCCUUGGUACCCACCAGCCCCACCUGGAUACCCACCAGCCCCACCUGGGUACCCACCACCUCCGGCUCCUCCUCGAGAAAAUUGGGCCUGUCCUUCAUACUGUACAUCAGCGGUGUAACCAUUCGCAUCAUCAGCCAUGUAUUUUACAAUUUGUGUCCUCGAAUCAGGAGCUGGAGUAGAAGAGCUGAAGAAUCAUCAAACUUACUCUUCCAUUGUCGCCACCGUAACCACCGCCUGAACCACCUUGGUAUCCACCACCGCCACCGCCACCUCCAAAUUGUCCAGGAGCUCCAUAAGCAGUGGAGGGGCGUCCACCGAAUCCACCGUCACCCCCAGCUCCCGGUGCACCGUACAACGCGUUUGGCCUUCCUCUCAAACUUCCUCCAAAAUCACCGCCUCUUCCACCGCUCAAGUCUCCGGGCAAUCCUCCAGGGCCACCGAAACCACCUCCACCUGGUAACUGAAGUAUCACUGCAAGCUUUAUAAAGGACCUGAAUUAAACACUAUCAAUUAUUAUCUUUAUGUACAAGAAGAAGAAGAAAUGUUGAAAAUCAAAGAAGAAAAGGAAGACCAUAACGCAACCACUAUCGCUAUUGCUCGCGUUAGUGGAACGUCUAUUGGUAAGCAUACUCCGGAGGAUAGCCUACCUGAUGGUAAUUCAUAUUGCUGUUAUGAGCGAAGACGCGAAGCGAACUGAGAAGAUGAUCCACGGACGAGUUUAUAUACCAUCCGGACCCUUUGUUACAGUUUAUCCUUAGCGCUGCAUAUCCAUGUAUUAACCGGUACCUAAGGUGAAUUUUCAAGACAGAAGCUUCAGUGAAGAAAUAAAGAAGAGAUGCUUUAUGAAUUAUCAUGUAUUAAAGAACAAUAGAUUAUUAAUAUUGAAUCAGCAACUAUAUUAAGAUAUCAACGCAUUGAAUUUCAAUCUCAACUGUUGCCUGAACGUCCUGAACGAAUUACUAACUUGUAGUACGAAUGAAAGGUAAAUGAAGAAAUACAUGGGCUCGUCAGCGAUCGAACGAGCAGGAAGACUCAUUUUAGUGCGUACAUAAAACAUCCAACCUAUACAUUUAUGCAUACUUAAAACAAAGUCCUAGGCAUUGAAGAAAUCGUAUGGAGGGUUCCUGGAAGCACCAAGGUUCAUCCCAUAAACGUUCACCGCUUAACAAGCUACCCUGUACUUUCACCUAAAUGGAGUGUGACCCUGUUUUAAUAUUUAGCAAUAGAAACUCUUGCUACUUUCUGAGGUCAUGGUAUCAAAGGCUUAUGGAGAUGAGAAUUACUUUUAACACGUUGAAUGCCAUGGGGCUCACCGGUGGACCAGCACCGUAAAUUACACAUGCCUGAAUAAUUAAAAGAAAUAGAAGAACAUUAUUUUAAAUAAUAAAUAAUAUCAAAUAGAAUAUAUGAAAUUUGAAAUUUGAAAAUUAACUAUUCCUAUUCUUUCAAUGUGGCAGUCAACGUGUUAAAAUAAGUAGUAUAAGUAUAUUAUUAUAUCAUACUAUAUUUAAUUUUUUUUUAAUUCAUUUAAUAUGUUAACAGGAAGACUAUACAACGUUUAAAACUGUUGACAAGAUAAAAAAUACUCUUUCAAAGAAGCCACCAUAGAAUUAUUCGUCCAGAAAAUUGUCAACGACCAGUUAAGCGGAUUUUCCAACAGAAUUGCAAAUGUAAUUGCACUCUCACGACACGUAAUGAAUUCUUCUGUCGCACGUUAGUCCAUCGUUAUUGAAAAUUCUUUUAUCCAAUGGAUUAGCCUGUCCCCGUGCUUCCACGACUUCAGAAGUUACUUAAUGUAGCAUACAAACGAUCGAAUGCUUUCUUAAUUGCGUUUCUUCUUCUUGAGCAAGGCGUUUCUCUCGCGUUGCUUCAGUUUAAUGAUUCAAUUAAAGACAUCGCUGGAUAUUUUACUCGUGUACAAGGUAUGUUCGAUCUUGUACGAUCUGCCGCAAAUGCGAUCCUGUAAUCUGUAACGCCAUUAAUCCAGCAGAGAAUUUGCAAUCGGUGGUAACAUCUGCGAUCGAUCUCUCAGUGAACUUUAGCUUGUUCCAAUGUAACAGAUAGCAACUUAUUCUGUUG